GCAUUAAUGGGGUAGUGGUAACCUGGGUCGUUGCCAUGUUUAUGUCGACCCGCCGGGGGUUCGAUUCCCCCUUAAUGCA